UAUCAUUUUGAGUGAUAAUUACAAUCAUUGGUUCCCAAAUAUCCACAUGUCAUGUUUAACUAUGUUAGAUAAUCAUCGACCUCACCGAACUAAAACAAACACAAUCAUCACUUACUCUCUCUCUCUGUUCUCUCUCUCCUACUGUCACUCUCCGGCCGCCGUCCUCCGCCGUUGAAUCUAGCAUUUUCCGGUGACUGUCCUCCUCUUUACAGGACGAUGAUAGCUCCUUCAACAACCCCUUCUCUCCAUUUCACUUGUGGUGGUUUGAUAUGUUUUACUUGAGCCGACGAGUGGUGGUGGAGCUAAGAUUUUCACUAACAGGCUCAAAAUCGGAAAAAGUCAAUCAAAUCGAAGGCGUAUCCACCCUUGAAAGUUGGAGCUCUUUUAUUCUUUUUUUCCCCCUACUUUUCCCAUAUGGGACCAUACGGCAGUUUGCAUAUUAUUCUCAUUUUUCUUGUUCAUGUCAAUUUUACUUUAUUUUUAAGAGUGUUAAUUCACCUGGCAAUAAAUAGUCUGGAUAUUUUAGGAAAAAUUAUAUCAUAUCAUAAUUUA